GGUAGUCCACGCCGUAAACGAUGUCGACUUGGAGGUUGUGCCCUUGAGGCGUGGCUUCCGGAGCUAACGCGUUAAGUCGACCGCCUGGGGAGUACGGCCGCAAGGUUAAAACUCAAAUGAAUUGACGGGGGCCCGCACAAGCGGUGGAGCAUGUGGUUUAAUUCGAUGCAACGCGAAGAACCUUACCUACUCUUGACAUCCAGAGAACUUAGCAGAGAUGCUUUGGUGCCUUCGGGAACUCUGAGACAGGUGCUGCAUGGCUGUCGUCAGCUCGUGUUGUGAAAUGUUGGGUUAAGUCCCGCAACGAGCGCAACCCUUAUCCUUUGUUGCCAGCGGUUAGGCCGGGAACUCAAAGGAGACUGCCAGUGAUAAACUGGAGGAAGGUGGGGAUGACGUCAAGUCAUCAUGGCCCUUACGAGUAGGGCUACACACGUGCUACAAUGGCGCAUACAAAGAGAAGCGACCUCGCGAGAGCAAGCGGACCUCAUAAAGUGCGUCGUAGUCCGGAUUGGAGUCUGCAACUCGACUCCAUGAAGUCGGAAUCGCUAGUAAUCGUAGAUCAGAAUGCUACGGUGAAUACGUUCCCGGGCCUCGUACACACCGCCCGUCACACCAUGGGAGUGGGUUGCAAAAGAAGUAGGUAGCUUAACCUUCGGGAGGGCGCUUACCACUUUGUGAUUCAUGACUGGGGUGAAGUCGUAACAAGGUAACCGUAGGGGAACCCUGC
rnacentral:rRNA from 1 species